CCUACGGGAGGCAGCAGUAGGGAAUCUUCCGCAAUGGACGAAAGUCUGACGGAGCAACGCCGCGUGAACGAUGAAGGCCUUCGGGUCGUAAAGUUCUGUUGUUAGGGAAGAACAAGUGCUAGUUGAAUAAGCUGGCACCUUGACGGUACCUAACCAGAAAGCCACGGCUAACUACGUGCCAGCAGCCGCGGUAAUACGUAGGUGGCAAGCGUUGUCCGGAAUUAUUGGGCGUAAAGCGCGCGCAGGCGGUUUCUUAAGUCUGAUGUGAAAGCCCCCGGCUCAACCGGGGAGGGUCAUUGGAAACUGGGAAACUUGAGUGCGGAAGAGGAAAGUGGAAUUCCAAGUGUAGCGGUGAAAUGCGUAGAGAUUUGGAGGAACACCAGUGGCGAAGGCGACUUUCUGGUCUGUAACUGACGCUGAGGCGCGAAAGCGUGGGGAGCAAACAGGAUUAGAUACCCUGGUAGUCCACGCUGUAAACGAUGAGUGCUAAGUGUUAGAGGGUUUCCGCCCUUUAGUGCUGAAGUUAACGCAUUAAGCACUCCGCCUGGGGAGUCGGUCGCAAGACUGAAACUUAAAUGAAAUUGACGGNUUGAGAGNGCGAGCGACGACGAGGGAGGAGG
rnacentral:rRNA from 1 species